rnacentral:rRNA from 1 species
GACGAACGCUGGCGGCGCGCCUAACACAUGCAAGUCGAACGAGCGAGUGAGAGCUUGCUUUCUCAAGCGAGUGGCGCACGGGUGAGUAACGCGUGAGGAACCUGCCUCAAAGAGGGGGACAACAGUUGGAAACGACUGCUAAUACCGCAUAAGCCCACGACCCGGCAUCGGGUAGAGGGAAAAGGAGCAAUCCGCUUUGAGAUGGCCUCGCGUCCGAUUAGCUAGUUGGUGAGGUAACGGCCCACCAAGGCGACGAUCGGUAGCCGGACUGAGAGGUUGAACGGCCACACUGGGACUGAGACACGGCCCAGACUCCUACGGGAGGCAGCAGUGGGGAAUAUUGCACCAUGGGGGAAGCCCUGAUGCAGCGACGCCGCGUGGAGGAAGAAGGUCUUCGGAUUGUAAACUCCUGUUGUUGAGGAAGAUAAUGACGGUACUCAACAAGGAAGUGACGGCUAACUACGUG